GCCUAGGUGGCUCAGAGAUUGAGCAUCUGCCUUUGGCUCAGGGCAUGAUCCUGGGAUGUGGGAUCGAGUCCCACAUUGGGUU
rnacentral:tRNA from 1 species